rnacentral:rRNA from 1 species
UGGGGAAUCUUGGACAAUGGGCGCAAGCCUGAUCCAGCCAUGCCGCGUGGAUGAUGAAGGCCUUAGGGUUGUAAAAUCCUUUUCGCCGAGGACGAUAAUGACGGUACUCGGAGAAGAAGCUCCGGCUAACUUCGUGCCAGCAGCCGCGGUAAUACGAAGGGGGCUAGCGUUGUUCGGAUUUACUGGGCGUAAAGCGCGUGUAGGCGGGUCGUUAAGUUGGGGGUGAAAUCCCGAGGCUCAACCUCGGAACUGCCUUCAAAACUGGCGACCUGGACCUAAGUAGAGGCAAGUGGAAUUGCGAGUGUAGAGGUGAAAUUCGUAGAUAUUAGGAAGAACACCGGUGGCGAAGGCGGCUCACUGGAUCGGUACUGACGCUGAGGUGCGAAAGCGUGGGGAGCAAACAGGAUUAGAUACCCAUGUAGUCCCUGAGCGGGCUGGCAAGGCGCAU